rnacentral:rRNA from 1 species
UACGUAGGGUGCAAGCGUUGUCCGGAUUUAUUGGGCGUAAAGAGCGUGUAGGCGGCCAGGUAGGUCAGCUGUGAAAACUCGAGGCUCAACCUCGAGACGUCGGUUGAAACCACCUGGCUAGAGUCCGGAAGAGGAGAGUGGAAUUCCUGGUGUAGCGGUGAAAUGCGCAGAUAUCAGGAAGAACACCCGUGGCGAAGGCGGCUCUCUGGGACGGUACUGACGCUGAGACGCGAAAGCGUGGGGAGCGAACAGG